rnacentral:rRNA from 1 species
AGAGUUUGAUCCUGGCUCAGGAUGAACGCUGGCGGCGUGCUUAAUACAUGCAAGUCGAGCAACGAAAGCGCAAGGGGUAACCCUUGCGCCUGAAAGCGGCGAACGGGUGAGUAACACGUGGGCAACGUGCCCCGGACACCGGGAUAACAACGGGAAACCGUUGCUAAUACCGGAUAACCUCUGCGCUCCGCAUGGAAUGCAGGGCAAAGCUCCGGCGGUCUGGGAUCGGCCCGCGGCCUAUCAGCUUGUUGGUGGGGUAACGGCCCACCAAGGCGAUGACGGGUAGCUGACGUGAGAGCGUGACCAGCCACACUGGGACUGAGACACGGCCCAGACUCCUACGGGAGGCAGCAGUAGGGAAUCUUGCUUAAUGGGCGCAAGUCUGAAGCAGCGACGCCGCGUGAGGGAUGAAGGCCUUCGGGUUGUAAACCUCUUUCAGCGGGGACGAAGCCUCACGGUGACGGUACCCGCAGAAGAAGGUCCGGCCAACUACGUGCCAGCAGCCGCGGUAAUACGUAGGGACCGAGCGUUAUCCGGAUUUAUUGGGCGUAAAGAGCGUGUAGGCGGCCGAAUAAGUCUGACGUGAAAUCUGGAGGCUCAACCUCCAGCUGUCGUUGGAAACUAUUCGGCUAGAGUCCGGAAGAGGAGAGUGGAAUUCCCGGUGUAGCGGUGAAAUGCGCAGAUAUCGGGAAGAACACCCAUGGCGAAGGCAGCUCUCUGGGACGGUACUGACGCUGAGACGCGAAAGCGUGGGGAGCGAACAGGAUUAGAUACCCUGGUAGUCCACACCGUAAACGUUGGGCGCUAGGUGUGGGACCUAUUCCAUGGGUUCCGUGCCGUAGCUAACGCAUUAAGCGCCCCGCCUGGGGAGUACGGCCGCAAGGCUAAAACUUAAAGGAAUUGACGG